CAUGGAAUAUGGUUACUGCAUGAUUUAUCCGUUUGACUCGAAAUGCUCUGGACAAUCUAGGUUUAACUAUCAAUUCUGGAUUAGUCAUCCACAUUGUAUUUCAAUUUUUUUCAAAUCCUAUGACAUAUCACAUGGAUUGCCCUAGCUGAGGUCUUCUCUAUUGAAAUAUAGUGAUGCAUCAACUCCUGAAAUUAGGAGGGGUCAAUACCAUCUUGAUCUACACACCG
rnacentral:lncRNA from 1 species